rnacentral:lncRNA from 10 species
CCACUUUAUUGUUUUUCUUCCAUCAUCCCUUUACUGUAAAAUGGUAUCGCCCAUGGAAAACAGAAUGGAGGUUCCUCAAAAAAUUAAAACUAGAAUUACCAGCAAUUAUAUGACCAGCAAUCCCAUUCCUUGGUAUAUAUCCAAAAGAACUGAAAACAAGAUCUCAAAGAGAUAUUUGCACAUCCAUGUAUACAGUUUGCCAGGGGGGAAAAGGGAGGAGGGGCAGCAGGAGAAAAGAAUCUUGUCCUCACUCCAGAUGAAAACAAUUGCAGGCUCCUGCCUGCUGUGUCACUUUCAAGUAAUGACAGUCUGAUGGUCACAUCAAGUCACAAACAUGGUCUUACUAGAGUAAUUCAGUGAGUCAGUUCAUUCUAUUCAUCAACAAUUCCAUUUUCACUCAAAAGAUUUCUUCCCCUUCUUUGCGAGAGCUGGCAGUUCCCAGGGAGGUGAGGGGAAAGUAGUCAUUUUCUUCUGUCUUGCACCAUGCGCCAUAAUCCUCCUCCACUCACUAGCUACUGGCUUGGAUCCCAUGCCCAAAUGGACAGACGGCAAAGAGGUCCUCGCUGGAAACAGCACUAAAGAACCAGGAUGUGGACUGACUCCUCUGUGCAAGUCACCGACAGUGCCCAUGUUUAUACUGUAGGCCCACGAACCAAGCAGCCAUGGCGGCAGGGACGGAGGUGUGCAUGGACUCAAUCACCAUCUUUCCCUCACCAGAGCUGACUCAGCUGCCUUCUCUGCUGAAGCCCUAAGUGGAGACCAAGGCUGAGCUAUGGCAUCUUAAUUAUGAGGCAUCCCUUCCAAAAGGGAAGACAGAGCUUUGCGUGUGGCAGUAUCAUAGCCAAUGAGGUUUAUCCGAGGCGUGAUUAUUGCUAAUUGAAAACAAAAUGGAAGACAGGUGACUUUUCCCCUCCCUUGAAUAAACACUUCUUCCACACAUGGAUUUCCUUUUCCUAAUCACCAUGCUUCUGCCAGCAACUUACCAACUCAAUGAAUGCCUCAUCCACUGCCACAACGCCAGACACCCACAUUGCUUCUGAUCACAAAUCCAUUCACAGCAAAAGAAAUGGGUCCAUAUGCUGGUACCCCCCAGAUGCUCUGAUCUUACCGUGGUCCCCAGGGGUAGGUGAUCUUCUUGAUGGUAGAAUGAAUGGCCCAUUGGAGACUGAGCUACAGUAUCCGCUGGCAGACACCACCUGGUGACACUGGGGUUCUGUCCCAUAAGAUGUAGUAGAUGCUCUGAAC